rnacentral:rRNA from 1 species
AUUAACUUACAUCCACACCGCCAGGGAAUUACGAGCAAUGCUUAAAACCCAAAGGAUUUGACGGUGUCCCACCCCACUAGAGGAGCCUGUUCUAUAAUCGAUGAUCCCCGCUUCACCUAACCAUGCCUCGCUUAUCAGUCUGUAUACCUCCGUCGAAAGCCUACCAUGUGAACGUCCGCAGUAGGCUCAAUGAUUCACCAUCAACACGUCAGGUCAAGGUGCAGCUCAAGGAAUGGAAAGCAAUGGGCUACAAUUUCUAACUUAGAACAAACGAAAGACUAUGUGAAAUCCUAGUCAUGAAGGUGGAUUUAGUAGUAAAAAGAAACUAGAGUGUUCUUUUUAACCCGGCUCUGGGACGCGUACACACCGCCCGUCACCCUCUUCGAUAGUAUCUUAUUUGUUCCUAACCAAACAUCACAUUUUAGAAGAGGCAAGUCGUAACAUGGUAAGUGUACUGGAAAGUGCACUUGGUAUACUACAAGAUGUAGCUUAACAAAAGCCCCUCGCUUACACCUAGGAAAUGUCUGUUUAACCCAGAUCAUCUUGAGCCUAAAAUCUAGCCCACAUAACCCCCAUGACUCCCCUCUACCCACCCCAACAAACAAAACAUUUUAACACCUUAGUACAGGCGAUCGAAAAAUUUCUAAGCGCUUCAGAUAAAGUACCGUAAGGGAAAAAUGAAAUAGAAAUGAAAUAAUCUUUAAGCCCCUAACAGCAGAGAUAUAGCCUCG